GUGGGGAAUCUUAGACAAUGGGGGAAACCCUGAUCUAGCCAUGCCGCGUGAUCGAUGAAGGCCUUAGGGUUGUAAAGAUCUUUCAGGUGGGAAGAUAAUGACUGUACCACCAGAAGAAGCCCCGGCUAACUCCGUGCCAGCAGCCGCGGUAAUACGGAGGGGGCUAGCGUUGUUCGGAAUUACUGGGCGUAAAGCGCACGUAGGCGGAUUGGAAAGUUGGGGGUGAAAUCCCGGGGCUCAACCCCGGAACUGCCUUCAAAACUAUCAGUCUUGAGUUCGAGAGAGGUGAGUGGAAUUCCGAGUGUAGAGGUGAAAUUCGUAGAUAUUCGGAGGAACACCAGUGGCGAAGGCGGCUCACUGGCUCGAUACUGACGCUGAGGUGCGAAAGCGUGGGGAGCAAACAGGAUUAGAAACCCCUGUAGUCC
rnacentral:rRNA from 1 species